rnacentral:rRNA from 1 species
UACGUAGGGCGCAAGCGUUGUCCGGAAUUAUUGGGCGUAAAGAGCUCGUAGGCGGUUUGUCGCGUCUGCUGUGAAAUCCCGAGGCUCAACCUCGGGCUUGCAGUGGGUACGGGCAGACUAGAGUGCGGUAGGGGAGACUGGAAUUCCUGGUGUAGCGGUGAAAUGCGCAGAUAUCAGGAGGAACACCGAUGGCGAAGGCAGCUCGCUGGGACGGUACUGACGCU